CAUCUCCGACAGCGUGCCGUGCCAUGCCAGCGCAGCCCGCGCGCCGGAGAACCGUCCGGCCGAAUAGCUGGCAAUGGCCGCGGGCCGCCAGAACCAUUCCUCCAGAAAAUGAUCGGUGAGAUUCUUCAGGCCCGGCUGAAGUCCCCAGUUGUAUUCGCCCGUGACGAACACGAAGCCGUCGGCGGCGAUGAUCUUCUGUCCAAGCUCCUCCAGUGCCGCAGGCACUUCGCCCUUCGGAUAUU
rnacentral:misc_RNA from 1 species